GUGCAUGGUUGUCGUCAGCUCGUGUCGUGAGAUGUUGGGUUAAGUCCCGCAACGAGCGCAACCCUUGAUCUUGGUUGCCAGCAUUCAGUUGGGCACUCUAAGGUGACUGCCGGUGACAAACCGGAGGAAGGUGGGGAUGACGUCAAAUCAUCAUGCCCCUUAUGACCUGGGCCGCACACGUGCUACAAUGGACAGAACAAAGGGCUGCGAGACCGCAAGGUUUAGCCAAUCCCAUAAAUCUGUUCUCAGUUCGGAUCGCAGUCUGCAACUCGACUGCAUGAAGUUGGAAUCGCUAGUAAUCGCGGAUCAGCAUGUCGCGGUGAAUACGUUCCCGGGUCUUGUACAACGCC
rnacentral:rRNA from 1 species